AGUCACUCUGCUAAGAGUCUCACUUUGCUGCACACCUGUCGCUAACCUUGACUUUGUGAUGUUCCUAACCUUUUCAUGCUAUUGAUUGACAAUCUGUUUAUUAAUAGAAUAAGAACAUUUAUAGAAUAUAAGCAUUUUUCUGAUUAAAAGUAAUACAAGUUUAUUAUAGAAAUUUACAAAAAUUAAAAACAUCUCACCACCUGGAGAUAAUCAUGAUUAACUUUUUAACAUGAAUCUUUUCAGACUAUUCUGUGUACUUAAAAAAAAAAUGUGUUAUAUGCUGUGAAAACUGAAAAAUACAGAAAGCAAUACCAUCCAGGAAAUAAUAAUUCUCCAUAAUUCCAACUCCAGGAAAUAAAUUGCUGAGAUUAUAUGG
rnacentral:lncRNA from 1 species